GUGAUCUUUCAUUAAAUUUGCUGUAACUAGUUUCUUUCUUUAUUUAAUUUCCAGAAACGAUAAGAUCUCGUGAUGAACGAAGAAUCUUUAGCAUUGAGCUUAGCUAGCAACCGGCGGCAGAUUUCCGGCGACGUGCAAGGGCCACACAUGAGGUAUACGACGUUUCCGAGAGGGCGCAUGAAGAUUCCGUCUUCUCGGAGCAUUUUUAGAAGAGACUUUGCAUACAAGGAAGCAUAGCCGGAAUUGGAAGCAUCUACUUUUAGUUCUAGAGCGAAAAGUGUUCCUAAUACAACCACCCUUUGAACCGCAGAGUGAGAUGAUAUUCGUUGCACCAGUUCUUCGUCCCACAGCUGCAAAAAAACGUUGAUGUUAUAGUUAGUCUCUGGAUCUUUGAACCAUUGGAUGGCUUUGACGGCUGUUGCGCAACCCAUGGCAUGAGCUGAGUAUGAGUGACCAUGAAGCAGGGCUUUAAGCUACAACCAGUAAGGAAAAUUAGAUGGUUUCAGGCGGAAUCAACAUGGUUUGAUUAAGAGAGAGCCUUCUUGUUUCGUUUUUUUUACCUUGGAAUCUGCAGA